rnacentral:rRNA from 1 species
UACGAAGGGGGGCUAGCGUUGCUCGGAAUCACUGGGCGUAAAGGGUGCGUAGGCGGGUCUUUAAGUCAGGGGUGAAAUCCUGGAGCUCAACUCCAGAACUGCCUUUGAUACUGAAGAUCUUGAGUUCGGGAGAGGUGAGUGGAACUGCGAGUGUAGAGGUGAAAAUUCGUAGAUAUUCGCAAGAACACCAGUGGCGAAGGCGGCUCACUGGCCCGAUACUGACGCUGAGGCACGAAAGCGUGGGGGAGCAAACAGG